AGAGGAGCCUUUAGGAUCUUUGCCCGGGACACCCACAACACCCGACACACACACACACCCUGGACACACACACACAUACACGGGACACACAUACACCAGGGACACCCACAACACCCGGGCCACACACACACAUCGGGCCACACACACACACCGGGACACACACACACAUACAUGCACGGGGCACACACACACCCGGGACACACACAUACACGGGACACGCACACACCAGGAACACACACACACUCGGGGGACACAGGUCCGGACAGAAGACUGUUCCUGGUAACGCUGGACAGGGCGGAAUACACAACCGGGGGAGACGGGACUGGCCGGAACAAAGACGUAGGGAACACAGGUUCGGGCGGAACACAAACCCGGAGGUCCGGGAUUGAAGAAGGAUCUCGAUGCGGGAUGUCCCGGGUUGGAGAGAUCCCGCCUGAGCCGCUGUGUUCGUCUAGCACUUUGUGUUAUUUUAACUAACGAAAUACUUGGAUUGAGUAUAAACGGUAGAGGGUGUGAGAGGUUUUCAAUUAAUACAUUGCAGUGGCAAUGAUAACAUUGAUCUAAGAAGGACAAAUGGAAUGGUUUUCGAAACAAGAAGAAAAGUCCGAGCUGUCACUUAGCUAGAGGCAACCCCAAGAAGAGAUAAAACAAGAAUCAAAGACUACAAACAAAUGUGAAAUGCUGGUGAAUUAAAUCUGCAUGUGACCAUUGUAUUGCGAUAGAUAUGAAAUGCCUGUGUUGUGAAUCAAUCAAGCACUCUGGAUCCACUGAAUGCUUCCCAGUAUAUACUGUUGAGGCUGUGAAUAAACCAACUUGUUGGAAAAACUC